rnacentral:rRNA from 1 species
GACGAACGCUGGCGGCGUGCUUAACACAUGCAAGUCGAACGGAAAGGCCCUGCUUUUGUGGGGUGCUCGAGUGGCGAACGGGUGAGUAACACGUGAGUAACCUGCCCUUGACUUUGGGAUAACUUCAGGAAACUGGGGCUAAUACCGGAUAGGAGCUCCUGCUGCAUGGUGGGGGUUGGAAAGUUUCGGCGGUUGGGGAUGGACUCGCGGCUUAUCAGCUUGUUGGUGGGGUAGUGGCUUACCAAGGCUUUGACGGGUAGCCGGCCUGAGAGGGUGACCGGCCACAUUGGGACUGAGAUACGGCCCAGACUCCUACGGGAGGCAGCAGUGGGGGAUAGUGCACAAUGGGCGGAAGCCUGAUGCAGCAACGCCGCGUGCGGGAUGACGGCCUUCGGGUUGUAAACCGAUUUCGCCUGUGACGAAGCGUGAGUGACGGUAAGGGGUAAAGAAGCACCGGCUAACUACGUG